CCUUCGGGGGCACACGAGCGGCGAAAGGGUGAGUAACGCGUGGAUACCUACCCCCUGGACCGGAAUAGCGGCGGGAAACUGCCGGUAAUGCCGGAUAACCUCUCCGGAGCAAAUGGGACUGCCGCCGGGGGAUGGGUCCGCGUCCUAUUAGCUUGUUGGUGGGGUAACGGCCUACCAAGGCUGCGAUGGGUAGCGGGCGUGAGAGCGUGGCCCGUCACACUGGGACUGAGACACUGCCCAGACGUCUACGGACGGCUGCAGUCGAGAAUCUUUGUCAAUGGGCGCAAGCCUGAACAAGCGACGCCGCGUGCGGGAUGAAAGCCCUCGGGUUGUAAACCGCUGUCAGAGGGGAGGAAAUCGAUCGGGCCCACUCGGUCGUUGACCUAGCCUCAGAGGAAGUCCGGGCUAAGUUCGUGCCAGCAGCCGCGGUAAGACGAACCGGACAAACGUUAUUCGGAAUCACUGGGCUUAAAGGGUGCGUAGGCGGCGCGGCAGGUGGGAUGUGAAAGCCUCCGGCUCAACCGGAGAAUUGCGUCUCAAACCGCCGUGCUCGAGGGAGACAGAGGUGAGCGGAACUUGCAGUGGAGCGGUGAAAUGCGUUGAUAUUGCAAGGAACACCCGUGGCGAAAGCGGCUCACUGGGUCUCUUCUGACGCUGAGGCACGAAAGCUAGGGUAGCGAACAGGAGUAGAUACC
rnacentral:rRNA from 1 species